rnacentral:rRNA from 1 species
CUGUCUCUAUUUAAAUAUUAAUUUAAUUUAAUUUUUAAGUUAAAAAGCUUAAAUUUUUUUAAAGGACGAGAAGACCCUAUAGAGUUUUACAAAUUAAUUGAUUAAUAAAUUUUAUUUUUUUUGUUAAUUAAUUAAUUUUGUUUUAUUGGGGCGAUAUUAAAAUUUAAUUAACUUUUAAUUUAUUAAAACAUUAAUUAAUGAAUUUUUGAUCCUAUUAUUUAGAUUAAUAGAAUAAAUUACCUUAGGGA